UCCUAUUCUUGUCACCCCCUCACAUGCUAGGGCAGGUACUUCUUACAACACCUGCACAUGGUCAUAGAAGGCAAAGCUCAUUAUAGUGAAUUACAAAGGAUUGGCUGAGUGAACUCAUGAAAGGGACUCUCUGACACUGAAUAAUGUAUUUGUUUCAACCAAGACUUAAAUUUUUCUACAUUCAGAGAUUUUUUUCUCUAACUUUUUCCAAGUAGUUUUCAGUUCUAAAUAUCUAUGAAUUUAAAAGUGCUUUUUCUGACAUUUCUAGCACACAGUGUUUACUGAUAAUGCUGAGGGAGCAUUUCUUCUGACAAAAUUUCUAAUUUUUGUACCUCUGGGACAAAGCCAAGCCAAAGAAAAAAUGCUUUAGCUGCAUACUACUCCCUGAGGUUCCUGGGAGUGAAAAGGAAUAGGUGGAAAAGUGCUUCAAAUAGUAUAUUGCUUUUAGCUGUGAUGCUUUCAAAAUGAGCAAUUAUGGAAACACUGAUAAAGACACAUCACUGCUAAUUUACAUACACAUUUAAUUACAUGAAUCACUAAAGUUCCUACAGCUUAUCUGUUCCAAUAAUUGAUAAGUCCAAUGUAACACUUUAAAGAUUAAUUUAUACUGUCUUUUAUUAAGAUACUUAUAAUGAGCACCUACUCUGUCUCAGGGGUUUUAUAGCCUAAUAGUAAAUAUUUGUUAUAACUCUUCAAGAAAGACAUAUCACCUCCAUUUCCCAAUGAAGAAAAUAAAAGACGCAAAGGUGAAGUUACUUGUCCACAACUAUGUAGUUAGGGGCACAACCAGGUUUUAAACCCAGGCUCCUGAAGCUAUAGUUUCCUGUGUAUUCUGCAACACAUCUUUAAAUCCAAGAUUUAAAAUAAAGACACAUAAUCUUUCAUAUUAAAAUAUAUUAAACAUUUAUUCAUUUGCUAAAAAAGAUAUUGCUACUUUAGCAUUUGGAGUGGAUAAGCAAUGAGAUCCUGCUGUAUAGCACAGGGAACUACAUCUAUCUAAUCAUUGUGUUGGAACAUGAUGGAGGAUAAUGUGAGAAAAAGAAUGUAUAUAUGUGCAUAACUGGGUCACUUUGCCGUACAGAAGAAAUUGACAGAACAUUGUAAAUCAACUAUAAUAAAAAAUUUUUAAGUAAAAAAUAAAUUAAAAAAAUGUUGCUGUUAAGGAGAAAUUUUGCACUAAGUGAAACAUCUAUGCUUUCGGCGUAAUGUAACUUUGACUUAUUAGUCCUACAUGCACACCCACAUACACGUGCACAUACUGUUUUUUUUUUUGCCUCUUUUUUUUUUAUUUUCCCUUGCCAUACUGUUUUUUUUUAUUAUUUAGAGAAUUUAUUCCACUGAUAUUUAUUGAUAAUCCAGUCCUUAUCUCUUAUUUUGACAACAUGGCAUAAUAGUAUUAUACUUUGUGCCAGCCAUGUUUUAGAUGUUUGAGAUACAGAAAAAAGUCCCUGUUCACAUGAAGCUUAACUCUAAAGGCAAGAAAUAGGCAUAACCCAAGUGAAUAAAUAAACAAGAACAUUUCUUUUCUUUUCUUGUCAAGAAACAAGGAAUUUCUUUUAAUGAAGUAAAACAGGGUGGUAUAAUUCAGAGGGACUGGAUUUUGUGGGAAGAAUGAAAUUUGCAGUGAACACCUGAAUUAUUAGAAAGAAAUGUGCACCAAGAUCCUGAGGCAGGACUCUCAGAGCAAGAAGAGCAAAUGCCAGGGCCCUAAGGGAGACCUUAGUGAAAUUCGGAAACGGGAAGAAGGGAAGUGCAGUUCUGAGCACGGUAGUUGAGAAGGAGUGUGGUAGAAGAGGAGAGUGGAGAAGUCAUAAAGAAUUGGGGUUUUAUUUAUAGUGUCAUAGAAAGCAUUUGAGGAUAGUAAUAUAAUCUGGCUUAUAUUUUUAAAAGAGUGCUCUGGCUGCUGUGUGGAGAAUGAAUUAUAGAUGAAACAAGAGGAGAAGCAAAGAAAACAGCAAAAAGGAUUAUUAUCGUAGAAUAGGUAAAGAUGACCCUGACCUAAUUAGGAUGAUGGCAAAAAAGGUGGUGAGAAGAUGACAGAUACACUGGUGUCUCAUGUCUACUCUAAUUACCUUCCACGCAUUUCCAUAUUGAUAUUGGUGUGAACAAUGUCAUAUGCCAAUGUAAAGGAUCUAGAAAGAAGAAGGAAACAAGAUAACAAAACUGUCACCUCAUUUUGUACUCCCCAAAUCCUCCACACACAUUCAAAAUGAAUGAAUAUAUAGGUUUGCUUUUAAGAUGUGAAAAUGUUUCAUAAAAAGCAUCAUUAAAAAAAAACAAACCCAUGCAUUGAGCCUAUUGUAGUCAUCUAAAGCAAUUUUCUCAGACUUUAGGAGGGAAGCAGAUUGAUGUACUUUUGGGAUUUUUCAACCAGUGUCUUUUCAGUAAAGCCUGCAUCUAUUGAUGUUUUUGUUUUUCACUUACCAUUUUAAAUUUAUACCACUUAAAUAUCAUCACUGGCAUGGCAGUAAAAGGUAAAAUAUAAAAAUAAACAGCUCUAUAAUUUGGACUUUAAAUGGCUUUACGUAUUUAUAUUCUAUGUGGGAUAUGUAACAGAUUGUGAUAACAGAACCAGGUAUAAUCAAAUUGCAGCCUUACAAAUAUAGCAAAUAUCAUGAAACAGCUCCCUUAUGCUGACUCAAAGAGUGGGAGUUCCACUUCUUUCAUUAUAUUUUUUCUGUAACAGCUUAUCACUAGCAACACCUUUAUAGCAAUUCUCCUGCUUUGACAGUGUGAAUGUCCCCACAAUAGCACUUUACCUAUAUUUGCCAUUGAUUCUCUCAUUGGAUUUUCUUCUCUGGAGACAACUAAUUUGAGUAGCUUGAAAUAUAAAACUUAUGGCUUCCACCUUUAGUUUCCCAGUUCACAUAGCAACAUAGUGAAGUCAUUUUCAAAUGCAGAAAACCCAAGGCCCUCAGAUAGGCUUUGUUCAUCCUCCAUGGUGCUACUCUGUUUUAUUUCUCUAAAACCUGUAGCCUUUCACAUGUGCUGUUAGAGGGAGAAAUUCUGCUGUUUAUAUAUAGCAUCACUAAAUUAAAUUCUGCUAGUUACUGUAUCUGAAUGCAAAUGAGGACACCAGACCAGACUGAGAGUGACAGCCGUUUAGUGCACUCACCUGUCCACUUGGAUGGGGGCUUAAAGGUGCUGUCAAAUAUUUGUAAACAUGGCUUUUGCAUAUUUCUUUCACAAAGGAGAGUUGUUUUUCUGUUUUGUUGUGCUUGGGGUUGUUUUAAGCUUGUUUAGCUCUUCCUCCUCUUUAACCCUAAACUGCAACUCCGUUUCCCUCUACAACUCGCAGAAGUGAUCCCUGACUGGAUUCAUGAAGUGGGAACAGUGUUGGACCAGUAGGGGGAGCUCAUAUCAUGCCUAUUUUGUGGGUUGUAGACAAGUUACUUUGUAGGUUUGUGUAGUUAGGAUGGAACUAUUUUAAUUCUAAAGCCAAUGAAGAUUUGGGGUUGGAAUAAAAGUUAUUUUCUCCUGUUGAAAAGUUAAAAUUUGCUAACGUUGAAAAUCUCAACUACAGUGAGAGUUUAGGUGGCUUUAAUCCAUCUGCAUGUUGUGGUUGAAUUUUUCAGAUAGCUGAAACGUGGAGGCUUUAAAACAUUACAAGCUUUCUUUCCUGGUCUGUAUUAUCAAAUUACUUUCUUCCAUAAAUGACAGACACAGCACCUGAUUUUAAGGGGUUUUGUUUAUUUGUUUAUGGCUGUCGGUCAAUAUAAAAUAAACAUGGCCGGUGCAGAUGGGCGUGACUGGAAAAAGGGUUGAUGUUAAGUGUCGUCUGAUGGACCCUAGGACCAUGUUCCCAUCGUGGCUCAGUGGUUAACGAAUCCGACUAGGAACCAUGAGGUUGUGGGUUCGAUUCCUGGCCUUGCUCAGUGGGUUAAGGAUCUGGCGUUGCCAUGAGCUGUGGUGUAGGUUGCA
rnacentral:lncRNA from 1 species